GAUGAACGCUGGCGGCGUGCCUAAUACAUGCAAGUCGAGCGAACGGACGAGAAGCUUGCUUCUCUGAUGUUAGCGGCGGACGGGUGAGUAACACGUGGAUAACCUACCUAUAAGACUGGGAUAACUUCGGGAAACCGGAGCUAAUACCGGAUAAUAUUUUGAACCGCAUGGUUCAAAAGUGAAAGACGGUCUUGCUGUCACUUAUAGAUGGAUCCGCGCUGCAUUAGCUAGUUGGUAAGGUAACGGCUUACCAAGGCAACGAUGCAUAGCCGACCUGAGAGGGUGAUCGGCCACACUGGAACUGAGACACGGUCCGGACUCCUCCGGGAGGCAGCAGUAGGGAAUCUUCCGCAAUGGGCGAAAGCCUGACGGAGCACCGCCGCGUGAGUGAUGAAGGUCUUCGGAUCGUAAAACUCUGUUAUUAGGGAAGAACAUAUGUGUAAGUAACUGUGCACAUCUUGACGGUACCUAAUCAGAAAGCCACGGCUAACUACGUG
rnacentral:rRNA from 1 species